CUUAUUCGUCUCAUCCUAUGAAAAUGUUAAUAAUCUCGCAACACCCGCGAGGAUUUAUUCGGCACGAUUUAUCCGGCAGACGCAUAUAUUCUCGGCGCCGCGAGACGGACCAGCUAUCCUGUAGGAAAGCAACUCCCAGACGAACUCUCCUCGCCAAUGCCCCGACGCCGGGUUCAUGAAAGGAAGCGGGAAGAAAACGCAACGGACCCUGGAGACGGAAACGAGAGGAGCAAAUGGGUAAAGAAAGAGCGUAAAAAUCAAGAGUGGCUAUUCGGGAAACAAUGAACUAACAAUGGAAUACAUGAAAUAGCGAGAAAGGAUAAACUGACGGGCGGAGGUUGUUGGCCGGAGCUGGCUACAGGGCGCUGUUCGAUUUUGGGAGUUGAGCUUGGUCCGGGGUUGUCUAGCCAUGCGGGGGUUGUCCGGGUGGCUCAGGUUCAAGGACACACCGGUCGAUAAACCCCCGACAAGACUGGAAAAAGGGAGGAGACGCGACUAGGGGCGGAAGAGGAAAGAGCUAGAUUGCCUGCAGACUGCGGAAAUUUAUCGCGUACGGGAUUGAUCACGUCGUAAUAAUAUCCACAGGACGAGUAAAUUUUUGAAUAAUUUCUUGCUUGCGUAAGCUGAAUUUUUACGAAGAACAGCAAAACGUCGCGAUCGAUAAAAGCAUCUGUAAAAUGCGAGUGUUGAAAAUCGGAUUCGUUGCAGAUACAACAGAUUACGCGUACAUAUAGAAGUUGGAGUUAACUUCUGCUUAGUGAAUAUAUAGCGGGCAAUUUAAUUACGGAGAAAAACGCAAGAUAAAUUGCCUCAUAGUCGUUCGUUGGAUAUUCAAAAACAAGAUAAAUCAAGGACAGUAACGCGCGCGUUGGGCGUAAAAUUAAACCGGCUGAAUAUCAAGCUCUGCAAUGCGGUAAAUG